UGCCAAGCCGUAAAAACUACCACACUAAACAACGCCAGGGUACUACAAGCCCAAGCUUUAAACCCAAAGGACUUGACGGUGUCCCACCCCACUAGAGGAGCCUGUUCUAUAACCGAUAAUCCACGUUACACCUGACCACUUCUUGCUUAUCAGCCUGUAUACCUCCGUCGUAAGCUUGUCAUGUAAACGCAUAACAACAAGCCCAAGGGCACAUCGCCAAUACGUCAGGUCAAGGUGCAGCUCAUGAAGUGGAAAGUGAUGGGCUACAAUUUCUAUUUUAGAACAAACGAAAUUCUACAUGAAACACAGAUCAUGAAGGCGGAUUUAGUAGUAAACGGGGAACAGAGAGCCCCAUUUAACCCGGCCCUGGGACGUGUACAAACCGCCCGUCACCCUCUUCAAUAGUAGUCCACCAGAUUUCAUAACCCAUUUCACCUACACCCUAGAAGAGGCAAGUCGAAACAUGGUAAGUGUACUGGAAAGUGCACUUGGAACAA
rnacentral:rRNA from 1 species